rnacentral:rRNA from 1 species
AUUGAACGCUGGCGGCAUGCCUUACACAUGCAAGUCGAACGGCAGCACGGACUUCGGUCUGGUGGCGAGUGGCGAACGGGUGAGUAAUACAUCGGAACGUGCCCAGUAAUGGGGGAUAACGCAGCGAAAGUUGUGCUAAUACCGCAUACACCCUGAGGGGGAAAGUGGGGGAUCGCAAGACCUCAUGUUAUUGGAGCGGCCGAUGGCUGAUUAGCUAGUUGGUGAGGUAAAGGCUCACCAAGGCGACGAUCAGUAGCUGGUCUGAGAGGACGACCAGCCACACUGGGACUGAGACACGGCCCAGACUCCUACGGGAGGCAGCAGUGGGGAAUUUUGGACAAUGGGCGAAAGCCUGAUCCAGCAAUGCCGCGUGUGCGAAGAAGGCCUUCGGGUUGUAAAGCACUUUUGUCAGGGAAGAAAACUGUUUGGCUAAUACCCGGAUAGGAUGACGGUACCUGAAGAAUAAGCACCGGCUAACUACGUGCCAGCAGCCGCAGUAA